AUGAGAAUUCGAUUCUUACUCCUCACCGUCCUCCUUAUAUUUCUCCAAUGCAAUGCUCCUCUAGUUAGUGGAAGCGAGAAGGUGACAAACAUCCGCUUCUACCUUCACAACACCCAUAGCGUGAAUGAUCCAUCUUCGGUCCUUGUCGCUGAAAACAAGAAUGCCACGGCCCAUGCUCAUGGCUUAGUGCCCUUUAGCUCCGUCUAUGUGUUUGACGAUGUGCUCACCGAGGAGCCCGCAAGUACAUCUAAGGUGGUUGGGAAUGCACAGGGUAUGUAUGUUGAAACGGGGAAAGAUGGGUACACGAUAUUGGAAAGUAUUGAUUGUGAGAUGACAGAUGGUCCAUUCAAAGGCAGCUCGUUCGUGAUGUUCUCAAGAAAUCAAUUCAGUAAUCCAAGCAGGGAGCUUCCCGUUAUUGGAGGUCGUGGUGCAUUCCGUAUGGCCAAAGGGUACGGCUUGCUCAGGACCGUAUGCAUUAACUGCAUCAACUCCAUGAACCCGUCCAAGGGAGAUAUCAUCGAGUAUAAUGUGACUCUAUAUCUUCAUUGA
rnacentral:rRNA from 1 species